GGACAGUGACGACUCCAUGUGAUUAGGUCUCGUUCGUCGUAAUGGCUCACAAGCCUUGCCGACCAUCCUAUAUAUCACCACCCAUAUUCUGAGUCC